CUUGAAAUGCAGGUGCAGCUGGACAUUCUUCUGAGCUAAAAGCAUAUUUAUUUAGUCCCGUCAAACGGAUUAUUACUUUUGCUCUAGCUAAUAUAAAGGUCGAAUGCGCUAUAUGCUGACUGAUGCAGGAUUACCAAGUUUUACUAGCUAAAACUUGUAAACUCGAUCUCAAAUCAAGUAAGACUACCCGCUGAACUUAA
rnacentral:misc_RNA from 1 species